ensembl:lncRNA
UAAGCUUUGUGUUAUGUGUGGGGCAGUUAGAUGGGUUCAUCACACGUGUUUUGAUAUGGGUAGGUCAAAAGGUCAAGCCGCAUAAUAGAUUUAUAGCCUUUUUUAGCAUUAAAAAAAUUGUAUAAAAUCAAAAGGUGGGUUUUUGGAAAAAAUAGGCUUUGUGUUAUGUCCGGGGCAGUUAGCUGAGUUCACCAGAUGUGUUUUGAUAUGGGUAGGUCAAAAGGUCAAGCCGCAUAAUAGAUUUAUAGCCUUUUUUAACAUUAAAAAAAUAGUAUAAAAUCAAAAGGUGGGUUUUGAUCAAGGUGGGUUUUGAUCUGGUCAAGCCGCAUAAUAGAUUUAUAGCCUUUUUUAACAUUAAAAAAAUAGUAUAAAAUCAAAAGGUGGGUUUUUGGAAAAAAUAAGCUUUGUGUUAUGUGUGGGGCAGUUAGAUGGGUUCAUCACACGUGUUUUGAUAUGGGUAGGUCAAAAGGUCAAGC